AUGGGACACUUUGCUCCUUUCUCCUAUUUGUCUCUCCUCAGCUUCACCUUAGCCAUCACCGUCCUUACCUCUUCUGCCGGCAUGCUAAUUCUUAUCCUGCUCUUUGUUGGAGUCUUGUCUAUGACCCUGAAAAAGUGGAGGAAUAACAGGAUAUUUGAGAAACAAAAGAGAUGGGACAACUUUCUCUUCAACUCCCAGGCUGAAGAUGACCAACAUGAGGCAAUAUAUUCCAAUGUGAUCAACCUGACUACCCAGAAGGAAGAUGAUUUUGUCAUUUAUACCAAUGUGCCCCGCUUCCAGUGCCCCCGGAAAAUCUCCCCUAUUGUCACCUAGGCUCCGGACCAAGUGGAACAUGCUUCCAUUGUAUUCCUCUGAUGGGAGACCAGAAGAAUGUUCUGGAAUGAGUUGACAAAGGUGGUGGCUUGAUUAUUAUUUGCUUAUUGAUUAGCAUGAUGAGAUGUAUUUUUUUUUAAACUUCUUACCAGUUCUCAUACUCAUAAGGACAGAGAGGAGGGCAUGGUUUGUAAAAGGUGUCUUGGAAAUACAAGGUAUGUAGAUGACUCAAGUCUAACAGAAUUAUUGGUGACAUAUGAGAGGAGUGGGGAUGUGCACACACCACCAUUCAGGCAGCCCUCAAAUACCCAGGCAAUAGAUUAUUCUGUAUCCAAGCUGGAAGUAGAAAAUCAGGGACCAGAUAGAUGAUAUGAUUCCCUCUUUAACUCUUGGCAUCCCAGGGCAAGACAAGUGAUUAUUAAAUCAGGUACUCUGAUGAAUGUGGAGAUACAAAUAUAAGCAGUAAGGAAGACAUUCCCUACCCUCAAAGAGAUGACUUAAAAAACAAACAAACAAACAAACAAACAAAAAAACAAACACCCUUACCUUCUGUCUUAGAAUCAAUACUAUGUAUUGAUUUUAAAGCAGAAGAAUGGAAAGGGCUAGGCAAUGAGGGUUAAGUGACUUGCCCAGGGACACACAGCUGGGGAGUGUCUGAGGUAAAAUUUGAACCCAGGACCUCCCAUUUCUGAGCCUGGUGGUACUCUAUCCACUGAGUCACCUAGCUGCCUCCCCAAAAGCUGACUUCUAAUGGGGGAAAACAAAACACAAAAAAGUGAUGGGAAACCUUUAUUACUUUUCUACCUUAGAAUUGAUACUUAGCAUGGACAGAGGGUAAGGAUUUUACUUAUCUAUUUUUAAACCCUUAUCCUCCAUCUUAGAAUCAACAUUUAAUAUUGGUUCUAAGGCAGAAUAGUGGUAAGAGAGGUAAGUAGGCAAUGGGAGUUAAGUGACUUAGACAGGAUCACAGAGCUGGAAAGUAUCUGGGGUCAGAUUUGAC
rnacentral:lncRNA from 1 species